UACGUAGGGCGCGAGCGUUGUCCGGAAUUAUUGGGCGUAAAGAGCUCGUAGGCGGCUUGUCACGUCGGGUGUGAAAGCCCGGGGCUUAACCCCGGGUCUGCAUUCGAUACGGGCUAGCUAGAGUGUGGUAGGGGAGAUCGGAAUUCCUGGUGUAGCGGUGGAAUGCGCAGAUAUCAGGAGGAACACCGAUGGCGAAGGCAGAUCUCUGGGCCGUAACUGACGCUGAGGAGCGAAAGCAUGGGGAGCGAACAGG
rnacentral:rRNA from 1 species